rnacentral:rRNA from 1 species
GCGCUUCUGAGUGAGGCCUCUGGGUCCACCUCCCACCCGUGUUUAUUUACCUUGUUGCUUCGGCGGGCCCGCCUUAACUGGCCGCCGGGGGGCUUACGCCCCCGGGCCCGCGCCCGCCGAAGACACCCUCGAACUCUGUCUGAAGAUUGAAGUCUGAGUGAAAAUAUAAAUUAUUUAAAACUUUCAACAACGGAUCUCUUGGUUCCGGCAUCGAUGAAGAACGCAGCGAAAUGCGAUACGUAAUGUGAAUUGCAAAUUCAGUGAAUCAUCGAGUCUUUGAACGCACAUUGCGCCCCCUGGUAUUCCGGGGGGCAUGCCUGUCCGAGCGUCAUUGCUGCCCUCAAGCCCGGCUUGUGUGUUGGGCCCCGUCCUCCGAUUCCGGGGGACGGGCCCGAAAGGCAGCGGCGGCACCGCGUCCGGUCCUCGAGCGUAUGGGGCUUUGUCACCCGCUCUGUAGGCCCGGCCGGCGCUUGCCGAUCAACCCAAAUUUUUAUCCAGGUUGACCUCGGAUCAGGUAGGGAUACCCGCUGAACUUAAGCAUAUCAAUAAGCGGAGGAA